AUUGAACGCUGGCGGCAUGCCUUACACAUGCAAGUCGAACGGCAGCACGGGUGCUUGCACCUGGCGGCGAGUGGCGAACGGGUGAGUAAUACAUCGGAACGUACCUUAUCGUGGGGGAUGACGCAGCGAAAGCUGUGCUAAUACCGCAUACGCCCUGAGGGGGAAAGCGGGGGAUCGAAAGACCUCGCGCGAUUAGAGCGGCCGAUGCCUGAUUAGCUUGUUGGUGGGGUAAAAGCCCACCAAGGCGACGAUCAGGAGCUGGUCUGAGAGGACGAUCAGCCACACUGGGACUGAGACACGGCCCAGACUCCUACGGGAGGCAGCAGUGGGGAAUUUUGGACAAUGGGAGCAACCCUGAUCCAGCAAUGCCGCGUGAGUGAAGAAGGCCUUCGGGUUGUAAAGCUCUUUUGUCAGGGAAGAAACACCGGCUCUAACACAGUCCGGGAAUGACGGUACCUGAAGAAUAAGCACCGGCUAACUACGUGCCAGCAGCCGCAGUAA
rnacentral:rRNA from 1 species